GACGAACGCUGGCGGCAUGCCUAACACAUGCAAGUCGAGCGAGUUGAUCCCUUCGGGGUGAAGCUAGCGGCGGACGGGUGAGUAACACGUGGGCAACCUGCCUCAUAGAGGGGAAUAGCCUUCCGAAAGGAAGAUUAAUACCGCAUAAGAUUGUAGCUUCGCAUGAAGCAGCAAUUAAAGGAGCAAUCCGCUAUGAGAUGGGCCCGCGGCGCAUUAGCUAGUUGGUGAGGUAACGGCUCACCAAGGCGACGAUGCGUAGCCGACCUGAGAGGGUGAUCGGCCACACUGGGACUGAGACACGGCCCAGACUCCUACGGGAGGCAGCAGUGGGGAAUAUUGCACAAUGGGGGUAACCCUGAUGCAGCAAUGCCGCGUGAGUGAUGACGGCCUUCGGGUUGCAAAGCUCUGUCUUCGGGGACGAUAAUGACGGUACCCGAGGAGGAAGCCACGGCUAACUACGUGCCAGCAGCCGCCGUAA
rnacentral:rRNA from 1 species